AGUGAACGCUGGCGGUAGGCCUAACACAUGCAAGUCGAACGGCAGCACAGUAAGAGCUUGCUCUUACGGGUGGCGAGUGGCGGACGGGUGAGGAAUACAUCGGAAUCUACUUUUUCGUGGGGGAUAACGUAGGAAAACUUAUGCUAAUACCGCAUACGACCUACGGGUGAAAGCAGGGGAUCUUCGGACCUUGCGCGAUUGAAUGAGCCGAUGUCGGAUUAGCUAGUUGGCGGGGUAAAGGCCCACCAAGGCGACGAUCCGUAGCUGGUCUGAGAGGAUGAUCAGCCACACUGGAACUGAGACACGGUCCAGACUCCUACGGGAGGCAGCAGUGGGGAAUAUUGGGCAAUGGGCGCAAGCCUGAUCCAGCCAUACCGCGUGGGUGAAGAAGGCCUUCGGGUUGUAAAGCCCUUUUGUUGGGAAAGAAAAGUAGCAGGUUAAUACCCCGCUGUUCUGACGGUACCCAAAGAAUAAGCACCGGCUAACUUCGUG
rnacentral:rRNA from 1 species